CAACAAAACGACAACUUCUUUAGGUUUAAGCGAAAUUGACAAUUAGGUUUAUGCAAUAAAACUACAACUUCUUUAGGUUUAAGCGAAAAAGACAAUUAGGUUUAUGCAAUAAAACUACAACUUCUUUAGGUUUAGGCAAAAAAGACAGUUAGGUUUAGGCAAUAAAACUACAACUUCUUUAGGUUUAAGCGAAAAAGACAAUUAGGUUUAUGCAAUAAAACUACAACUUCUUUAGGUUUAGGCAAAAAAGACAGUUAGGUUUAGGCAAUAAAACUACAACUUCUUUAAGUUUAAGCAAAAA